GCCCGCCUAGCUCAACUGGUACGAGGUGGCGCGCUUAGACCGCGCAGGUUCCCAGUUCGAGUCCGGGGGCGGGCA
rnacentral:tRNA from 1 species